GACAUAGGUCGCAAACGUUAUCCGGAAUUAUUGGGCGUAAAGGAUGCGUAGAUGGUUCAAUAAGUUACUGGUGGGAAAUCGAGGCUCAACCUCGUGGAAGUCAGUAAUACUGUUGAACUUGAGUGCAGGAGAGGUUAACGGAACUUUAUGUGGAGCGGUAAAAUGCGUAGAUAACUAUGAAAAGAACAUCAAUAUGGGCGGAAAGGCAGGUU
rnacentral:rRNA from 1 species